rnacentral:tRNA from 1 species
GCCUCUAUAGCACAGUGGUAGUGCGUUGCACUUGUAAUGCAAAGGUCCGGUGUUCAAUCCACCGUGGAGGCA